rnacentral:ncRNA from 1 species
UUUAACGCAUCGAACCGAAAUAGUAAGUGGAAAGUUGAUGGAUAGAGAGCAGUCGUAUGGUGGAAGAUUGUCAUGAACACCGCUGAACUCAUCGGGGAGCUGAUAGAAAAACUAUCCGUAAGUUCUGCGAUAAAGAACACAGAGUGCCCGCAAUCGCGGGAAAUAAGGUGGUACCGCGUGAACAACGUCCUUAUG